AAGAUGUUUAUAGUAGUUCCACGCCAAUCUUGCACUAACAUCCACUCUUCAAAACUUGUUGAGAAUAUUAUUAUAAUCUAUAACUAGAUUACAGUUUAAUUGUUUUCUGAGUUCAUAACCAAAUCCAGUUGAUUUUCUUAGAUCAAUCAACCGAAACCGUCACCGAUUGUUUUCUGGGUUCACAAUCAACCUAGUUAAUUUUUUCAGACCAAUCAAUCAAAACCUAUCUCGAGCCUUUUCCAAGCUCAAUACAAUCCAAUUUAAGAUUUGGACAGACCUUUUCCCCAAGUUUCACUUUCAAAAACUUGUUAUAGCAAAAGACAAAAAGAAUUAAAUGUUAUUCCAAUAAAUAUAGCUCCAGGGUAGGAGUCGACUCGUGAUCUUCAAGAGUCAGCUCGAACUUGCUUUUAUUUCUAUUGCGCUCUAUCUUUCGUUUGUGGCGCUUGUGGAGUUGGCUCUCUCAAUUUAAGGAUCGAUUCGAGAUUUUUAGGAGUCAACUCGUUGAUUUCAGAAAUUGACUUUUCAACGAACUAUCUUUUAAUACUUUCUGUCUUUCUAUUGUGGCCAUUCUGUGGUCGACUCAACUAUUUCUAGGAUUGACUCUAAUUUUAUUGGAGUCGGCUCAUAAAUUCCGGGUCGACUCAUCCAUCUAAAUCUCCACAUCAAGAAGCAAACUCCAAAAAGCAAUAAAAAUAUUUUUUUGGAAUCUUACAUACAAGCACAGAAA
rnacentral:lncRNA from 1 species